rnacentral:rRNA from 1 species
GAUGAACGCUGGCGGCGUGCUUAACACAUGCAAGUCGAACGGAAAGGCCCAAGCUUGCUUGGGUACUCGAGUGGCGAACGGGUGAGUAACACGUGGGUGAUCUGCCCUGCACUUCGGGAUAAGCCUGGGAAACUGGGUCUAAUACCGGAUAGGACCACAUUUUGGAUGGUGUGGUGGAAAGUUUUUCGGUGUGGGAUGAGCUCGCGGCCUAUCAGCUUGUUGGUGGGGUAAUGGCCUACCAAGGCGUCGACGGGUAGCCGGCCUGAGAGGGUGUACGGCCACAUUGGGACUGAGAUACGGCCCAGACUCCUACGGGAGGCAGCAGGGGGGAAUAUUGCACAAUGGGCGCAAGCCUGAUGCAGCGACGCCGCGUGGGGGAGGACGGCCUUCGGGUUGGAAACUCCUUUCGCUAGGGACGAAGCGUUAUGUGACGGUACCUGGAGAAGAAGCACCGGCUAACUACGUG